ACUUAAAUUGAAGAGUUUGAUCAUGGCUCAGAUUGAACGCUGGCGGCAGGCCUAACACAUGCAAGUCGAGCGGUAGCACAGAGAGCUUGCUCUCGGGUGACGAGCGGCGGACGGGUGAGUAAUGUCUGGGAAACUGCCUGAUGGAGGGGGAUAACUACUGGAAACGGUAGCUAAUACCGCAUAAUGUCGCAAGACCAAAGUGGGGGACCUUCGGGCCUCAUGCCAUCAGAUGUGCCCAGAUGGGAUUAGCUAGUAGGUGGGGUAACGGCUCACCUAGGCGACGAUCCCU
rnacentral:rRNA from 1 species